AACCAGCAAGUUAGUCUACGUGACGUUUAUGGUAACGCGUGCCGCUGCGUAAAACCUUCAACCACCAAACAUAUUUUUAAGUUACAAUUAUAGCUUUUACAGAAAUAUCAUGAGAAAGAUCGAAAAUAUCAUUUGCAGUCGAAAUUGCGCUCUAAUUUUGACUUAUUCAGAUCGAUGAAAUUACGCGAAAAUGCAUUGAAAUUCAAAAAGAUUCGUUUCGUUAAAUCGAAAGUAGAAAAUAGAAAAUAAGUUUGAAAAGAAUGAUAAAAUAUUACUUUGGAAGGAUUGUCCGAGAUAUCGUUUUACAAAUAAACACUUACAACGAUAAGUCACUUUUCAAGAGUCGAAUCAAUUUAAUGCGCCAAGUAUAUAAUCGAAAAUAUUUCAGGAGGAUCACGAGGAUCGAAAUGCAUUCAAGGAAGGUUCAUUGGAAGAGAUUGCUCGAAAAUGAUGCAAAUAAUCUUUUAGAUAGUAUCUUCUCGAAGCUCCGAUAUCUCGGCAUGACUCAGCGUUAGCUACGUGUCUAUCGAUCGUACAUGUUAAUCCGUGCAAUUAUUACGUUCGCCUCUCGUUUCACUUCGUAUUUUUAUAUUCAUUUCGAGAAAGAACGUAUAGAAAGAACGUUGAAAUCGCAAACGUUAAAUCUCCCAACGAUCUUGAUCCUUGGUCUAAUUCAAUCGAUCCAAUCCUACGAGGACGCAGAGAAUAUUGGGUCAAGAAGAAGGGAUUAACUUCGAAGGACGAGAUUGGCUCACGUGAGCAUGGCCUAAAUUUAAGUAAAGUAUACAAAAAAUUACAGUCACGAAAAGACACGAACACGAAAACGAACAAGAAAGCAUUCGAAAUUCACCAAAGCGAACUAGAAAAAGUUUAUGACCGAAAAGCGGAGCGAAACUUUGUAGGCGGGAUCAUAAAGGAGGAGGAGAAAGAGGAGGAACUACAAACCGAACGACGAGCGACGAAUUCGCACGAACGAUUCUCUCUGCACUCUAUUCUGCGUGUAUAUGCAAGAGAUAAAAAUAUGGAUAGUAGUGUUAGUAGUGCUGCUGGUGGUUUUACGCAUCACUGCUCGACCGAAUACACGUAUUCCAUUUACCUGGGUAUAUUUUCUUUAAAAAAAAAAAAAAAAAAAAAAAAGAAAGAAAAAAACAGAAACAAAAAAAAGAAAGAAGAAAGAAAAAUUUGUUUUACUCGCCAACCCCAUUAAUGUCGACUUUUUAAAACUUCGUUGGAAAACAGGUUGCGAGUUCUCUGGAAAAAAGAAGAUGGAAGAAAAAGUGUUCGCCUCUCCCAGUGAUGUCGUUACUGUUUGUCCGUGUCCCCGAAGCAUAUUUCGCAUUUAAAAAUAAUGCACCGACGCGACAAGCACGCGCGAACGAGCAAGCGAGUACGAUGCAGCAAGUCCGCAGUAGACGUCGUCAUCGUAAUCGUCGUCGUAUUUCGCUGUUGCAGCAGCCAAGUCGAGGCCGAGCUUCACGUGCAUACCACGAGCCAACACUACGUGAGAAAAAAUUUUCAUCUCCGAAAGAUCCAUGCAAGAUAAAGCAACACCCAAACCCAUAUCACGAUAGCAAAAAUGUGUAUGUGCAUAUGUGUGUGUAUAUAUAUAAUAUAUAUGUAUAUGUAUAUAUAUUAUACACUGCACGUCGUUUCAGAAUAUACAACCUUUAUCUCUCCGAAAA